CAGUCGCCGCGGUAAUACGGAGGGUGCAAGCGUUAAUCGGAAUUACUGGGCGUAAAGCGCACGCAGGCGGUCUGACAAGUCAGAUGUGAAAUCCCCGGGCUUAACCUGGGAACUGCAUUUGAAACUGUCAGGCUGGAGUCUUGUAGAGGGGGGUAGAAUUCCAGGUGUAGCGGUGAAAUGCGUAGAGAUCUGGAGGAAUACCGGUGGCGAAGGCGGCCCCCUGGACAAAGACUGACGCUCAGGUGCGAAAGCGUGGGGAGCAAACAGGAUUAGAUACCCCUGUAGUCCCUGUCUCUUAUCA
rnacentral:rRNA from 1 species